UAAAAGGGCCUCUGCCGUUCAUGGCACAUGGGAUGGUCAAAACGACCGUAAGUUCUGUGCGGAAUCGAAAUCAAGAGAUUUCGGAGGCAAAAUUUUUAUAUCCUGGGUGGCUGGUGCUCAUUGGCCUAGCACCCUA
rfam:Biomphalaria glabrata isolate BB02 linkage group LG4 unlocalized genomic scaffold LG4_random_Scaffold46, whole genome shotgun sequence.